CAAAACUGCAAAUGGCUCAUUAAAACAGUUAUGGUUUACUUGAUAAUAUUUUUUACAUGGAUAACCGUGGUAAUUCUACAGCUAAUACAUGAGCAAAACAUGGAUAACCGUGGUAAUUCUACAGCUAAUACAUGAGCAAAAUCUCAACUUUAUUAGAAGAGAAGCAUUUAUUAGAUAAAAAGCCAAUGCAUGCUUUUACAGUAUGAAAAUUGGUGAUUUAUAAUAACUUAGCAAAUCGUAAAGUGAAAACAGACGAUAAAUCAUUCAAGUUUCUGACCUAUCAGCUUUCGACGGUAUGGUAUUGGCUUACCGUGGCAGUGACGGUUAACGGGGGAUUAGGGUUCGAUUCCGGAGAGGGAGCCUGAGAAACGGCUACCACAUCUAAGGAAGGCAGCAGGCGCGCAAAUUACCCAAUUCUAACAGUUUGAGAGAGGUAGUAACAAGAAAUAACAAUACAAGGCAGUUAAAAUGCUUUGUAAUUGGAAUGAUAGAAAUUUAAACCCUUUUUAAAGUAUCAAUUGGAGGGCAAGUCUGGUGCCAGCAGCCGCGGUAAUUCCAGCUCCAAUAGCGUAUAUUAAAAUUGUUGCAGUUAAAAAGCUCGUAGUUGAAGUUCUGCUAAAAGUAACCGGUCUGCUUUUAAUAAAAGUGGUAUCUUGGUAUGUAUUUAGCAAUGAUGUCCUUUGAAGUGUUUUUUACUUUAUUGUAAUAAAGCAUAUUCAGGACUUUUACUUUGAGAAAAUUAGAGUGUUUCUAGCAGGCCGACGCUUUGAAUACUGCAGCAUGGAAUAAUAAGAUAGGAUUUUAGUUCUACAUUGUUGGUUUUAAGAGCUAAAUUAAUGAUUGAUAGGGACAGUUGGGGGCAUUUGUAUUUAACUGUCAGAGGUGAAAUUCUUAGAUUUGUUAAAGACAAACUACUGCGAAAGCAUUUGCCAAAGAUGUUUUCAUUAAUCAAGAACGAAAGUUAGGGGAUCGAAGACGAUCAGAUACCGUCGUAGUCUUAACUAUAAACUAUGCCGACUAGAGAUUGGAGGUCGUCUUUAUAAACGACUCCUUCAGCACCUUACGAGAAAUCAAAGUCUUUGGGUCUGGGGGGAGUAUGGUCGCAAGGCUGAAACUUAAAGGAAUUGACGGAAGGGCACCACCAGGCGUGGAGCCUGCGGCUUAAUUUGACUCAACACGGGAAAACUCACCAGGUCCAGACAUAGAAAGGAUUGACAGAUUGAUAGCUCUUUCUUAAUUCUAUGGGUGGUGGUGCAUGCCCGUUCUUAGUUGGUGGAGUGAUUUGUCUGGUUAAUUCCGUUAACGAACGAGACCUUAACCUGCUAAAUAGGGUGAAAAGCUUUUGUUUUAAAAUUACUUCUUAGAAGGACUUUGCGUGUCUAACGCGAGGAAGUUUGAGGCAAUAACAGGUCUGUGAUGCCCUUAGAUGUUCUGGGCUGCACGCGCGCUACAAUGAUGCAUCCAACAAGUUUAUAACCUUGGCUGGUAAGCUUGGGUAAUCUUUUGAAUGUGCAUCGUGAUGGGAAUAGAUUAUUGUAAUUAUUAAUCUUUAACGAGGAAUGCCUAGUAAGCGCGAGUCAUCAGCUUGCGCUGAUUACGUCCCUGCCCUUUGUACACACCGCCCGUCGCUCCUACCGAUUGAGUGAUCCGGUAAAUUAUUUAGACUGUA
rnacentral:rRNA from 1 species